rnacentral:rRNA from 1 species
GACGAACGCUGGCGGCGUGCUUAACACAUGCAAGUCGAACGGAAAGGCCCUGCUUUUGUGGGGUGCUCGAGUGGCGAACGGGUGAGUAACACGUGAGUAACCUGCCCUUGACUUUGGGAUAACUUCAGGAAACUGGGGCUAAUACCGGAUAGGAGCUCCUGCUGCAUGGUGGGGGUUGGAAAGUUUCGGCGGUUGGGGAUGGACUCGCGGCUUAUCAGCUUGUUGGUGGGGUAGUGGCUUACCAAGGCUUUGACGGGUAGCCGGCCUGAGAGGGUGACCGGCCACAUUGGGACUGAGAUACGGGCCAGACUUCUACGGGGGGGAGCAGGGGGGAAUAUUGCACAAUGGGCGGAAGCCUGAUGCAGCAACGCCGCGUGCGGGAUGACGGCCUUCGGGUUGUAAACCGCUUUCGCCUGUGACGAAGCGUGAGUGACGGUAAUGGGUAAAGAAGCACCGGCUAACUACGUG